AUCAAGGUGGCAGAAUUAAAUGCGUCAGACUUAAAAUUUGGAGAUAAAUGGAUUUUUUCUUGAUA
rnacentral:tRNA from 2 species